rnacentral:tRNA from 1 species
GGCCUCGUAGCUCAGUUGGCUAGAGCGUUGACUGUACUUAAACCUUCCCCUUGCUGGCGUGGGCUCGAAUCCCACCGAGGUCG